rnacentral:rRNA from 1 species
UACGUAGGUGGCAAGCGAUACUCGGAAUCACCAGGCGUAAAGCGCAGGUAGGAGGUUUGGUAAGUCUGUUGUGAAAGCUCCCGGCUUAACUGGGAGAGGUCAACGGAAACUACUAGGCUAGAGUGCGGUAGAGGUAGCUGGAAUUCCCGGUGUAGCGGUGAAAUGCGUAGAUAUCGGGAGGAAUACCUAUGGCGAAAGCAGGCUACUGGACCGUCACUGACUCUGAUCUGCGAAAGCUAGGGGAGCAAACAGG